AGUGAUUAUCAACCCUAACAAAGCUAUCUGGAGCUUUUUAAAACUCCAAUCAAUCAUUAUCUCCCUUUCGUCUAAGGAAAACUAAUGAGAAGGAAAUGAGAAAUGAAAAGAUUGUUACAAUAGGUUAGAAAUUAUCAGCGUUGGAAAGUGCCCUUGAAGAUCUCUAAAUCUAAUCUGCUACAAAUUUGGGAUUCUCCUUCAGGAUGUUCCUGAUAGAUGUUACAGUGAUUGACUUUAUUUAACUACUUUCAGCUAAUGGCUUUAGAGUUUCUCUGCUAUUGGUUGGGUUUAGGAUCACAGUUCCUUGUGAAGAUAUGGAAAGUAGAAACACUCUGAAUGUGAUAUUUACAAGGUAAGAAUUCAGUGCCUUAUUUAAGGCUUGGGACACUUAGGGUUUCAAAACUGCCCUAUCUGGAAUGGUGUUUUAUACCAUGGAAUAUCAUGGAAGGAAGUGGCAAAGCCCUUGUGCUUAAUUAGCAUCACAAUCUUUCUCUCUCCCCUUUGGUUUAAAGGUUGCCAUGAUAAUAGGAA